CCCUGACUGGUGAAGCGAAAAGGACCAAUCUUCCAAACGCCUCACCAAAGUGGCCCAUCCUUGGAUGCCCAUUGGCUUAUGGGAUUCGACUGGCAAACACCCGUUGUGCGACAGAAUUCAACCUGGUGGCACACACCUGGAAUCUCAACACUGAGUCUGAGGCCAGACUGGGCUACAAGCUACAGAAAAAUGAAAGAAAAAGCAAACAAAGACUUGAUGAAGACUAUCUAUGAUCUACCCAAUUGGAAGAAAUUGUGGGGUUUGGGUUUUGUUCUUUCUCCUGACAAUGAGUCUUACCUUACAGCCAGGCUGGCUUGAGCUGACUAUAUCUAGUCCCAGACAGGUCUACACUUACAGUCCUUGCUCCUGAAGUGCAAGAGAUUUACAGCAUGAGCAGGGACUGCCCCAGCCCAACCUCUCUUACCCCCACAGCGGUCAGAAAUUGUAACUAAGUGUCACUCAACUUUAUUAAAAGUGCCUUCUGAAUGAGUUGCAUGUACAAGAACUAUAUAAAGAAAACAGCCAUCUGUCCCUUUGGACAGUCUAAAACUUAGUAAGCAGACCAUUAUAAAGUAACAUAUUAGCCUAAAUGAUAAUGAGGCUGAUAGACAAACCUAAGGCCUUCUGGAUCCCCGCUUGGUGUUUGUUUCUAAAAGGACAGAGAUAUAAACUAUUCUAUUUGCCAUCAA